CCCCCCCCCCCCCCCCCCCCCCCCCCCCUCUUUCUGAGAAAAAAUAUUGAAAUCUAAAAACAAUGGAGAUGAAAACAAAGAUUGUGUUUAUGGUCACCAUGUUGAUGAUCGGAAACCUUAUAGUUGAAUCGGAAGAUAUAAACAAAGAUUUUCAAAAAUGUUUCACUCUUUGUCUUAACAUAUGCAUCCUUGGUCCAGUACAUGAUAAAUUAGGAUGUUUCGGUAAAUGUGGUAAGUCAUGUGGGAGACAAUACGAAAUUGAUCGUGUUAAUUUUCGAUGGGUUUCGGCUCAAGAUCCUAAAAAGGAGAUCGAUGUGAAGAAGGCAAAAGACUGAUUGUAUUCAGGUUCGGAUACGGACGAUAAAAAAUUAUGAAGGCAAUAUUAAUUAUACAUAUUUUCCGUAUUUGAUGAUUUAAUAAAGAUACGUAUUAUUGGUUAUUUCAAUUUUAUAAUCAAUUCAAAUAAACUUUUGAUAACUGAUCAGUUUUGUCCAGUGUUCAAGAAAGCGUUAGACGCAAAGCGGUCAAUAACUCAACGCCUAGCGCCUAAAAUGAUUAAUUGGAUGUCUCAAUUAUUAAUUAGCUAGCCUAGACGUUUACCAAUUAUAACAAUAUGCUAAAUAUAUAUAGAAUAAUAGAUUGAAUAUCAUGAUUUACAAUUAAUAAUUUUCAUAUUAUUUAUUUUCAUAAGAUUUAUGAAAAACAUUGAAUCCUGCUUUUUAAUAAUUUUAUUUCAAAAUAUAUGAUAAAUCAAAUAAUUAACUAAAACACUAAAAUCAUUUACGAAAAUAUAUAACUUUUUAACAAUUUAUAAAUAAUAAAUUAUUUAUUAUUUAUUAUUAUCAUAUUAUAUUUAUCUGGGUGGUUUAUAAUAAAAUCACUACGGUUCAGGAGAGCCUGACGCCUAAAAUAAUUAUAGAGAACUGGUUUUAUUUAUAUUUUGCAUUCUCGGUUUUUUCCAUUAAAUGGUAUAAUGUGGCACAUCCAUUGUUUAAUAUAAGAAAAUUUAUUAGGGUGAUCUGCCAAACGCCUAAAGAUCAUUUCAUUCAAAAAAAUUUCGUCUACAUUUUUUUUAUCAAAAUUUCGUCUACAUGUGGAAGCACCGUAGCUUAUUGGUUAAGGUUUAAAAGCUUCUACACCCAGGACUGGGGUUCGAAUCUUAGACUAUGUAAUUUAUUGCAGAUUACAUGAAAUCCAGGUUUCAAGUCCCGGAGAAAGCGGUUUAUUAAACAAUUAUGCAGACUACAGAGGAAAGACUUGCAAUGGAUCUUCAACAUGAUGCAAAUAAAUCUGGUCAGGCGUGGAUCUUCAUAGGACAGCUCAGGUGAUGCAGUUAGGCGUAGGUCUUCAUAAGGCAUGUAGUAUUGUCGGUUGUAGAAUUGUCUAUGUAAUCUUUCCUAUAUCAUAAUUGUAAGAUCGUAAUAAAUCAGCGUUAAAAAAAAAGACGAUAACAUAACCAUUGAUCUGA